rnacentral:rRNA from 1 species
AUUGAACGCUGGCGGCAGGCCUAACACAUGCAAGUAGAACGAGUGGCGGACGGGUGAGUAAUGUCUGGGAAACUGCCUGAUGGAGGGGGAUAACUACUGGAAACGGUAGCUAAUACCGCAUACCAUCAGAUGUGCCCCGAUGGGAUUAGGUAGUUGGGGGGGUAACGUCUCCCCAAGGCGACGAUCCCUAGCUGGUCUGAGAGGAUGACUAGCCAGACUGGAACGUAGACACGGUCCAGACUCCGACGGGAGGAAGCAGUUGGGAAUAUUGCACAAUGGGCGCAAGCCUGAUGGAGCCAUGCCGCGUGUAUGAAGAAGGCCUUCGGGUUGUAAAGUACUUUCAGCGGUGAGGCGUUACCCGCAGAAGAAGCACCGGCUAACUCCGUGCCAGCAGCCGCGGUAAUUC